AAGGAUUUAAGUUAAAAAAACUUUUAACCUUCAAAGUUAAACAUAGAAAUAUUUCUAAGCCUUA
rnacentral:tRNA from 1 species